UACGUAGGGUGCGAGCGUUAAUCGGAAUUACUGGGCGUAAAGCGUGCGCAGGCGGUUUUGUAAGCCAGAUGUGAAAGCCCCGGGCUUAACCUGGGAAUGGCAUUUGGGACUGCAAGGCUUGAGUGCGGCAGAGGAGACUGGAAUUCCGGGUGUAGCGGUGAAAUGCGUAGAUAUCCGGAGGAACACCGGUGGCGAAGGCGGCUUCCUGGACCGACACUGACGCUGAGGCGCGAAAGCUAGGGGAGCAAACGGG
rnacentral:rRNA from 1 species